GCCCUGGCAUUGCCCAAAAGCUCAACCUGCAGAGACCCUCCCCAACCUGGAGGCACAUAAAUGUGCAUCAAUUUAAAUGCCAGCCAAGGCUCUCAGGCAAAGCCACGCGCAGGCUUAGAGUCAAGUUCAUUGUCGCUUGCUGGGCAAUGUCACAGGAGCCACCUCCCUCCCCCGACUCGCUGCAGGAGUGGACAAGGACACGGAGACACACAUGCCCAUGAGACCUUCCGGCAUGGAGGAGACUGGGCAGGAAAGCACAAAACAGGCAGCAACUCAUUUAGCCACCGGUCUCCUCUUCCGAGCCACGUUGCUGCACAAAACAAAACUCAGGCUCUGCAGACCAUCUCCUGCUCUCGCCGAUUCGCAGCCUGCGAGGCUCAGCCCUGCUCUAUUAUCCGGCGGGAUGGACUUCCCAUUUCUCCAGCUUUAGCCUCAUGCGAGGCUGCUCUCCUCCUUCAAAAACUUCCAGAAACAUGGCUUGCAGCUCCGACACCCCAGAUGGGGACAUCCAGGGAUGGAGGGGAAGAUGAACAGAAAUGGCAUCCCCACAGUCCACAGCAAAGACCCUGGGACAGCCGGCGCCUGCCCAGCACCCACUCCUCUGCAGCAGUGGGACAGAGGGGCAGGACCCAUCCCCCACGGGCAGAGCCCACUUCGCCCAGCUCUGCCAGCACAUCCCAGCAGAGCACGUGGCCAUGGCAGGCCGACACAGCCCCUUCCCGCCUCGGCUCCGCAGGCGCCGCCGCGCACGGCUCAGCCCUAACGGAGAUAACAAGCUCACAAUGAGAUCCUAAUGAAGGAUUAGCGAAAUACAGUUUAAAGAGAUUAAAGCUGGGUGCAGCACUGAAA